rnacentral:rRNA from 1 species
AUCGGGGCAGGGUGAGUCGACCCCUAAGGCGAGGCCGAAAGGCGUAGUCGAUGGGAAACAGGUUAAUAUUCCUGUACUUGGUGUUACUGCGAAGGGGGGACGGAGAAGGCUAUGUUGGCCGGGCGACGGUUGUCCCGGUUUAAGCGUGUAGGCUGGUUUUCCAGGCAAAUCCGGAAAAUCAAGGCUGAGGCGUGAUGACGAGGCACUACGGUGCUGAAGCAACAAAUGCCCUGCUUCCAGGAAAAGCCUCUAAGCAUCAGGUAACAUCAAAUCGUACCCCAAACCGACACAGGUGGUCAGGUAGAGAAUACCAAGGCGCUUGAGAGAACUCGGGUGAAGGAACUAGGCAAAAUGGUGCCGUAACUUCGGGAGAAGGCACGCUGAUAUGUAGGUGAAGCGACUUGCUCGUGGAGCUGAAAUCAGUCGAAGAUACCAGCUGGCUGCAACUGUUUAUUAAAAACACAGCACUGUGCAAACACGAAAGUGGACGUAUACGGUGUGACGCCUGCCCGGUGCCGGAAGGUUAAUUGAUGGGGUUAGCGCAAGCGAAGCUCUUGAUCGAAGCCCCGGUAAACGGCGGCCGUAACUAUAACGGUCCUAAGGUAGCGAAAUUCCUUGUCGGGUAAGUUCCGACCUGCACGAAUGGCGUAAUGAUGGCCAGGCUGUCUCCACCCGAGACUCAGUGAAAUUGAACUCGCUGUGAAGAUGCAGUGUACCCGCGGCAAGACGGAAAGACCCCGUGAACCUUUACUAUAGCUUGACACUGAACAUUGAGCCUUGAUGUGUAGGAUAGGUGGGAGGCUUUGAAGUGUGGACGCCAGUCUGCAUGGAGCCGACCUUGAAAUACCACCCUUUAAUGUUUGAUGUUCUAACGUGGACCCGUAAUCCGGGUUGCGGACAGUGUCUGGUGGGUAGUUUGACUGGGGCGGUCUCCUCCUAAAGAGUAACGGAGGAGCACGAAGGUUGGCUAAUCCUGGUCGGACAUCAGGAGGUUAGUGCAAUGGCAUAAGCCAGCUUGACUGCGAGCGUGACGGCGCGAGCAGGUGCGAAAGCAGGUCAUAGUGAUCCGGUGGUUCUGAAUGGAAGGGCCAUCGCUCAACGGAUAAAAGGUACUCCGGGGAUAACAGGCUGAUACCGCCCAAGAGUUCAUAUCGACGGCGGUGUUUGGCACCUCGAUGUCGGCUCAUCACAUCCUGGGGCUGAAGUAGGUCCCAAGGGUAUGGCUGUUCGCCAUUUAAAGUGGUACGCGAGCUGGGUUUAGAACGUCGUGAGACAGUUCGGUCCCUAUCUGCCGUGGGCGCUGGAGAACUGAGGGGGGCUGCUCCUAGUACGAGAGGACCGGAGUGGACGCAUCACUGGUGUUCGGGUUGUCAUGCCAAUGGCACUGCCCGGUAGCUAAAUGCGGAAGAGAUAAGUGCUGAAAGCAUCUAAGCACGAAACUUGCCCCGAGAUGAGUUCUCCCUGACUCCUUGAGAGUCCUGAAGGAACGUUGAAGACGACGACGUUGAUAGGCCGGGUGUGUAAGCGCAGCGAUGCGUUGAGCUAACCGGUACUAAUGAACCGUGAG